UUUUUUUUUUUUUUUUUUUUUUUUUCCUUUCUUUUUAGGGCCGCACCCAGAGCACAUGGAAGUUUCCAGCUAGGGAUCCAAUCAGAGCUGCAGCUGCCCACCUACGCCAAAGCCAUAGCAACGCAGGAGCUGAGCCGCUUCUGUGACCUGUGCCACCACUCACAGCAAUGCCAGAUCCUUAACCCACUGAGCAAGGCCCGGGAUUGAGCCCGCAUCCUCACAGAGAUAGUGUCAGGUUCUUAGCCUGCUGAGCCACAAGGGGAACUCUGAAUUCUGCCUUUUCUUCCUUCUUCUGUUGGGUUCCCCUCGCCUUUGAUGUAGGGAAUACAGAGGAGGUCAGGUGAGUGGUAAAGUUAGAGAAAAUUUCAGAAAGUGACAUGAUACCAUAAAACAUUCAGGGAGUUCCCGUCGUGGCACAGUGGUUAACGAAUCCGACUAGGAACCAUGAGGUUGCGGGUUCGAUCCCUGCCCUUGCUCAGUGGGUUGACGAUCCGGCGUUGCCGUGAGCUGUGGUGUAGGUUGCAGACGUGGCUCAGAUUCCACAUUGCUGUGGCUCUGGUGUAGGCAGGCAGCUACAGCUCCGAUUCAACCCCUAGCCUGGGAACCUCCAUAUGCCGCGGGAGCGGCCCAAGAAAUGGCAAAAAGACCAAAAAAAAAAAAAAAUCAGGUCCUCCUGGGAGGGCCCAGGGGGUGAGGACUGCUAGCUGUGCAACUUACCUGCCCUGAGUGCGUGCCCAGGGCCUGAGUAUGGUCUCAACCAUAGCAGACCUCAGAGCAUGCUCAGCAUCGCCUAGGAGCUUGUUAGACAUAAUACAGAGUCUCAGACCCCCGCCUCGCCUCGGAUCCGAGUGGGCGUUUGAACACAAUGCCCAGGUGAUUCAUAUACAGGUUAAAGUCUGAGAAGUGCUAGAACAUGACUGGGAGAGCCCCAAAUGUGAUCCGCAACAAACCGCUUCAGAGGCCCUUGGGAAGUCUGUUUAGAGAAUGGAUCCCCAAUCCUCACCCCAAACCUAGAAUUAGAAUCCUUGGAGGUGGGGUUCAGGGACCUGCAUUUCAAAGAAGCUCCCAAAGAUUUUUUUUUUUUUUUUUUUUUUUUUUUUAGCCAUGCCUGGGGCAUGAGGAAGUCCCCAGGCCGGAGACUGAACCUGCGCUGCAACACUAACAGCUUUGGAUCCUUAAUCACUAGGCCACAAGGGAACUCUNNNNNNNNNNNNNNNNNNNNNNAGUUUCUUUCUUUUCUUCGUCUAAAAAGACUCCCACUCGUGGCAUAUGGAAGUUCCCAGGCCAGGAGUCGAAUCGGAGCUGCAGCUGCUGGCCUAUACCACAGCCACAGCAACACAGAAUCCAAGCUGCAUCUGCAACCAACACCACAGCUCAUGGCAAUGUCGGAUCCUCAACCCACUGAGGGAGGCCAGGGUUCAAACCCAUGUCCUCAUGAAUACUAGUUGGAUUCAUUACCACUGAGCCACAACAACAAGAACUCCCCCCUCCCCAAGAGUUUUUAAUGUGCAUUUGGGAGCACCGGUGCGCUGAAGAAUUCAAGCCUGAGAUCAGGAACCUGACCUUCACCUAUGGGCUAAGGAGCAAGACCUUGCCCUCCCCCAGGCUCAGUCUCCUCCCCUGUGAGAUGGAGGGGGCAGGACCCACCCUUGCAAGUUCUCUGAGCACCAGCUGAGAAAUGACCAGCUGGGUAACUGGAAGUGACAGCUGCUGAUGGAAACCCGAGCCUCCUUCAGUGAUGACAUCACAUCCCUGGCUGGUGCCACGGAAGGAAGUCAGAUCCAGGUGGCAUUUGGAGACGAAGAUUCUACCCUGGCUGUGCCGCUAACUCCCUGCAAGACGUUGGGCAGAUGAGCCCACCUCUCUGGUCUCAGCUUCUCAACUUUCUCAACAGCCAAGCAGAGGGUUGUAACACGUGCAGGAUCACCCGGAAUCUUAGGUCAACUCUAAGACUUCCUGGGAUUCUGGAAUCUGUCAUGUGCAUAGAACCGCCCUCCAGAUGGACCCCACCUUCCCAGGUGAAAGCAGAGACUGAAAGGCUCUGGGAUGAGCGAGCGAGCGAACAAGUCAGCCCACCCAGCAGGGACACACGGCAGAGACAGGCCUGGUUGUCUCCAUGUUCCAGAAACAUGGCUUUCUCAGUCUGGCUCUCCUUCUGAAACUCUAAAAUCAACACACACAAGGAAACAAACAAACAAAACUGAUUCUCCAGUGGUUCUGCAUCCCCCAGCCCACCUGACAGGGCACCUGCCCACCAGGGUUCCAAAUAUAACUAACUGACCCAGAUUCCUGAACCCAAGGGCCUCCAUCAGGGUGUGCACGGCGACAGCAGUCAGGACAAACUUUAAUGCUAUACUGACCCCCUGUGGAAGUCAGAGGUGGCAGCCACUCCUCCCACCUUGGGCGUCCCCCAGCCCCUAAAUCCCCCACUCCAGCCCCCCUCCCAUCCUCCCAACAUCCCCGGAUGUUCUCAGGGAGGGCCCUUCACCAGCUGCCACCUCUGAGGCUGAGAGCGCCAGCUGAACGGGACUGUGUCCUGGGGAGCCCCUGCCAAGGUCAGAUGGAGGACAAAGGAGGGGAGCGUGCCCUCUGCUCCAGCCUCUGUCACCCACUGGCCUAGCUGGGAUAAAGCAGCAGAUUCCCAACAUCCUCCCGACUCCCAGAUUCAUCCUCUCUGGGGUGAAGCUUCUUUCCUGCUGAUAAGCCAUCACUAGCACCUUGUGGCCCACGGAUGAAGCUCAGUCCUUGGCCUGACUUGCAAGGCUUCCCAGGAUCUAGUCCCCGUCUGCCUCUCCAGCCUCCUCCCUCACCCCCCAACCCGGCCUCAGCCAGGCCAGGAGCUCAGAAGUAGUCCCAGACCCUGCAGUUUCCUAGGCCACGCCUUUGCCCAGGCUGUUCCUGCCCAACAUGCCCAGGUCUCACCCGGACAGAAGUGCCCCCUCUUCACCAAGCCUUCCCUCAUCACUCCAGCUCCCCACAGCAGAAGGAAGCCGAAGGCCUGGGUUUGCACCUGCUCCUGCCUCAUCCCUGAUGUCAUAGCCCCUCUCUCAGCUUCAGGUUUCUCAGGUGUAGAAUGGAGGUAACGACUCCAGCCACGUGUAGCUCCCAGGAGGGCCACUGAGGUGUCAUGAGAUAAUAGGGAGCUUUGGGAAGUGUUGAGACAGCACCCAGGUUACAGUGCCACACUCUGUCCCGCAUCUCAGAGAAGUUUGGUCUCACACACUAGCCCUGAACAACAGAGAGCUGCCAUGGGAGCCAGCAAGUGACAGGGUCAAGCCUGGAACCCUGAGGCCCACAUUCGUGUCAGCUGCCAGAGACACCAUGAUGCCCUCAGAAAGCCCUUGCAUAGGGAAGGAGUCUUGAGGUGAUAGUUCAGGGCAGUGAGGAUGGGGAGAGAAGCAGACUCGGAGAAAUCAAGCCUUAAUUUCUCAGACAGCCUAUCCGUCUCUCCACUUUGUAGCCUGGGAGCAGACAGGGCACAGGGACUGGUGCCUGUGAUCUGGAGUCAGACAUCAGGGCGUGAGUCCCAGCUCACGGCUCACUGGCUGGGGACUUUGGGCAGGUGACUCAACCACGUACCUCAAUUUCCUCAACUUUCGCAUGGGGCUGAUAGUCAAGCCCACAACACAGAAGUGUCAACACGUGUGCACAGCAUGGUCAGCCCAUAUUGUGAACCAGAACAUGCCAGGCCUUUGCUCUUUCACCUGAGUCCACCAGCCUGGCUUGGCCUCCUCCCACCAAACCUCACUCUUUCGCCAGCCAUUCAUCCAAUAUUCAACUGGCUCAUAAGGCAAACAACCUGAGUCAUGAACAAGUUAAGGGUAACUGCCCUCUGCAUUCUGGGGGGUAGGAGAUGCCAAAGGGUGCAGGCGAAACCUGAGCCAUGUGGCGGGGAAGUGGAGGGGGGUGUGCAGUGGAGGACUGGGGGGAUCAGGGAAGCCUUCCUGGAGGAGGUGGUAUCUAAGCCAUUACCCAAAAGGUAAGGAGGCAUCGGCUGAGGGAAGGGAGGAAGGAGAGCAGGCGAAGCAGAGGCCACGGGUGAGAAAAGGAGAAACUUAGUUGUGGAAACGGAUGGAGGAUGGAGCAGAGAAGGGGAGGGGUGGUCGGAAGAGAGGACAUGGGGAAGGCCACCUGGACCCAAGGCCACAGAAAUCCUGCUGAUGUGAGUGGACGUCCUCAAAGGAAAAGGGAAAAGUCAUUCUCAGGGGUGCGUUUUAGAAAAAUCCAGUGAUGAUAAAAAGACAAGCGGGAGGGGACUAAACUAGACUCAGGAAGACAGGAAGUGUAUCCUAGGGACCAGGCACGGCCCUCAGCACCUUCCACGUUUAUUAGCUAAUUUCCUUCUCACCAUAGCAAUGGAGGAGGAACUGCUAUUACCCCACUUUGCAGAUGAGAAAGUUGAGGCCCAGAGAGUUUAAGUAAUUUGUCCCAAGUCACAGAGCAGUAAGGAUGCAGGGUAAAGGGAGAAGACCAAGGCCUUGAGGAACAGAGAGCAAGCAUGCUGGGGCCUCAAGGACAGGCUGCCUGGGACCAGGGCUCCAUGUGGCAAGGUUGGGGGUUGGGUCCCAAGAGCCCUGCCUCUGGAACCACAAGCCCUGGGAAGGUUUCCUGCUCUGCUCAUUCAACUCCAUGAGCUCAGACAACUGAUGCUUCCUCUCAGCCUCCUUGGCUGCAAGGAAGACAUGAUGAGACCCAUGAGAAUGAGCAAGAGAAGGGGUGGGCACCCAUGAGGGCACCCCUCCCACCUUUCCCCUGCAGGUGGCCCACCGAGACCCCACAGACCAAGAAGAUGCAUGGAGGAUGCUGUCCAUCACAGCAGGAAGAGGCCUUUCCCAGGAACAGGCUUCUCUGGGCAAUGGCAAACAAGUUGUAGAUGCUUGUUUCCCUCUUUGCUUUGGCUGCCAGGGAGCUCGAAGCCAUGUAUAAACCUGAUCAUCCAGGCCAUCAGCUUUCUAGUCCUCACCAAGAAAGGCUAAUUCAGAAGACCUUUCCACAGGUACAGAUGACUCCCCAGUACACACUUCGGAGAACAAACAUUCCCUUGGCUAUAUCUUAUGUCGCUACCCUUAUUUAUUCCUAGUUCUCAUUUCCUUAUUUUUUUCCUCCAAAAUAAAAAUCAUGAUAAUGUUCUUGUGAAUACUUUGGUGAGCAUUCUUCCUGACAGGCAUGAAAAUGAAAGUAGAAUUUUAUAAAAAUGAGAUUGUGUAAUUGACUCAACUAUAUGUCAAGGAAAGAUUUUCAUGUCAAUGACUAUAACUCCACAUGACAUAUGGAUUGCCAUAAUUUAUUUAGCCAGAUCCCUAUUUCUGUGCAUUUAGGUUAUUCCUCAUUUUGGCAAUUACAAAGCAAGCUGCCAUGGAAAGUCUGGUGCAUUUCUCCCAUUUCUGUGAUAUUAUUCUGAUGAAAAUUUCUCAGAAAUGAUCUCUUACUUUUGUAUUCUUUGCAUUUGCUGAUUGGUAAAUCUUUGGAAGAAUAAAAAGAAAAAAUUCUUACAAGAUAAAAUGUAUGAUGACAUAUUUACCCAUUUAUCAAUAUGAUGGAAUACUAUUUAGCCAUUAAAAGGAACAAAGCACUGACACACGCCACAACACAGACAGACCUUGCAAACAUUAUGCCAAGUGAAAGAAGCCUGUCACCAAAGACCACAUACUAUGUGAUUCCAUUUAUAGGAAAGGCCCCUAAUAGGAAAAUCUACAAAGAUGGAAUGUUCCAUCCCUGGCCUCACUCAGUGGGUUAAGGAGCUAGCGUUGCCGUGAGCUGUGGUGUAGGUUGCAGACUUGGCUCGGAUCCUGUGUUGCUGUGGUUGUGGCAUAGGCCAGCAGCUGCAGCUCCAAUUCAACCCCUAGCCUGGAACUUUCCAUAUGCUGCAGGUGAUGCCCUAAAAAGAAAAAAUGAAAAUAUUUGAAAAUUGACAGGGUGAGGUUGCACAACUUGGAGAAGACCAUUCAACUGUACCACUGAAUUGUUCAUUCUAAAUGGGUAAAUUGUAUGGCAUAUAUCUCAAUAAAUCUGUUACAAAAACCAAAAUAAAAUAAAAUGAAAUUUGUGAACAGAUCCUCAGGAGUCAGAAGGGAGUUGAGAGGCCCGUUGGGGGACGGGGGACAAAGGAUUUGCCAUCAAGGGCCUCCCUGUCCCAGGGAAGAAACCAGGAGGCAUCGCUUGGCCCCAGACCUGAGGCAGAGGCAGUGGUGACAGAAGACUUCCUCCGAGGUUUGGGGGGAUACAGGAGACAUUCCCAGGCCCGCAGGGCCUCCUGCCAGUCCAGCCCGUUUCCCUAAGCCCAUGACCCCAAGCAGCUGGCUCCCACCUGCUCAGAAGGCCAGGAAGGCAGGCAAAGCCUCUUCGGGCACCC
rnacentral:lncRNA from 1 species